GACGAACGCUGGCGGCGUGCUUAACACAUGCAAGUCGAACGAAGUGGCGAACGGGUGAGUAACGUGUAGUCAACCUGCCCUUCAGAGGGGGACAACAGUUGGAAACGACUGCUAAUACCGAAUACUGAAGGAGGGGAUUGCGUCUGAUUAGCUCGUUGGAGGGGUAACGGCCCACCAAGGCGAUGAUCAGUAGCCGGUUGGAGAGGAUGAACGGGCACAAUGGGACUUGUGCACGGCCCCGGCUCCUACGGGAGGCAGCAGUGGGGAAUCUUCCGAAAUGGACGAAAGUCUGGCGGCGCAACGCCGCGUGAGUGAUGGAGGCCUUCGGGGUGUAAAGCUCUGUUAAGCGGGACGCGGUACCGGAAUAGAAAGCCACGGCUAACUACGUGCCAGCAGCCGCGGUAAUUC
rnacentral:rRNA from 1 species